AUGAAUCAAAGAAGGUAAUAAUCCUGUAGUCGAAAAUGUUGUCUCUCUUGAGUGGAUCCUGAGUACGACGGAGCACGUGAAAUUCCGUCGGAAUCAGGGAGGACCAUCUCCUAAGGCUAAAUACUCUCUAGUGACCGAUAGUGAACCAGUACCGUGAGGGAAAGGUGAAAAGCACCCCGGAAGGGGAGUGAAAUAGAACCUGAAACCGUGUGCUUACAAGUAGUCAGAGCCCGUUAAUGGGUGAUGGCGUGCCUUUUGUAGAAUGAACCGGCGAGUUACGAUUUGAUGCAAGGUUAAGCAGUAAAUGUGGAGCCGUAGCGAAAGCGAGUCUGAAUAGGGCGUUUAGUAUUUGGUCGUAGACCCGAAACCAGGUGAUCUACCCUUGGUCAGGUUGAAGUUCAGGUAACACUGAAUGGAGGACCGAACCGACUUACGUUGAAAAGUGAGCGGAUGAACUGAGGGUAGCGGAGAAAUUCCAAUCGAACCUGGAGAUAGCUGGUUCUCUCCGAAAUAGCUUUAGGGCUAGCCUCAAGUGAUGAUUAUUGGAGGUAGAGCACUGUUUGGACGAGGGGCCCCUCUCGGGUUACCGAAUUCAGACAAACUCCGAAUGCCAAUUAAUUUAACUUGGGAGUCAGAACAUGGGUGAUAAGGUCCGUGUUCGAAAGGGAAACAGCCCAGACCACCAGCUAAGGUCCCAAAAUAUAUGUUAAGUGGAAAAGGAUGUGGCGUUGCCCAGACAACUAGGAUGUUGGCUUAGAAGCAGCCAUCAUUUAAAGAGUGCGUAAUAGCUCACUAGUCGAGUGACACUGCGCCGAAAAUGUACCGGGGCUAAACAUAUUACCGAAGCUGUGGAUUGUCCUUUGGACAAUGGUAGGAGAGCGUUCUAAGGGCGUUGAAGCAUGAUCGUAAGGACAUGUGGAGCGCUUAGAAGUGAGAAUGCCGGUGUGAGUAGCGAAAGACGGGUGAGAAUCCCGUCCACCGAUUGACUAAGGUUUCCAGAGGAAGGCUCGUCCGCUCUGGGUUAGUCGGGUCCUAAGCUGAGGCCGACAGGCGUAGGCGAUGGAUAACAGGUUGAUAUUCCUGUACCACCUAUAAUCGUUUUAAUCGAUGGGGGGACGCAGUAGGAUAGGCGAAGCGUGCGAUUGGAUUGCACGUCUAAGCAGUAAGGCUGAGUAUUAGGCAAAUCCGGUACUCAUUAAGGCUGAGCUGUGAUGGGGAGAAGACAUUGUGUCUUCGAGUCGUUGAUUUCACACUGCCGAGAAAAGCCUCUAGAUAGAAAAUAGGUGCCCGUACCGCAAACCGACACAGGUAGUCAAGAUGAGAAUUCUAAGGUGAGCGAGCGAACUCUCGUUAAGGAACUCGGCAAAAUGACCCCGUAACUUCGGGAGAAGGGGUGCUCUUUAGGGUUAACGCCCAGAAGAGCCGCAGUGAAUAGGCCCAAGCGACUGUUUAUCAAAAACACAGGUCUCUGCUAAACCGUAAGGUGAUGUAUAGGGGCUGACGCCUGCCCGGUGCUGGAAGGUUAAGAGGAGUGGUUAGCUUCUGCGAAGCUACGAAUCGAAGCCCCAGUAAACGGCGGCCGUAACUAUAACGGUCCUAAGGUAGCGAAAUUCCUUGUCGGGUAAGUUCCGACCCGCACGAAAGGCGUAACGAUUUGGGCACUGUCUCAACGAGAGACUCGGUGAAAUCAUAGUACCUGUGAAGAUGCAGGUUACCCGCGACAGGACGGAAAGACCCCGUGGAGCUUUACUGUAGCCUGAUAUUGAAAUUCGGCACAGCUUGUACAGGAUAGGUAGGAGCCUUUGAAACGUGAGCGCUAGCUUACGUGGAGGCGCUGGUGGGAUACUACCCUAGCUGUGUUGGCUUUCUAACCCGCACCACUUAUCGUGGUGGGAGACAGUGUCAGGCGGGCAGUUUGACUGGGGCGGUCGCCUCCUAAAAGGUAACGGAGGCGCUCAAAGGUUCCCUCAGAAUGGUUGGAAAUCAUUCAUAGAGUGUAAAGGCAUAAGGGAGCUUGACUGCGAGACCUACAAGUCGAGCAGGGU
rnacentral:rRNA from 1 species